rnacentral:rRNA from 1 species
UACGGAGGGAGCUAGCGUUGUUCGGAAUUACUGGGCGUAAAGCGCACGUAGGCGGCUUUGUAAGUUAGAGGUGAAAGCCCGGGGCUCAACCCCGGAAUUGCCUUUAAGACUGCAUCGCUUGAAUCCGGGAGAGGUGAGUGGAAUUCCGAGUGUAGAGGUGAAAUUCGUAGAUAUUCGGAAGAACACCAGUGGCGAAGGCGGCUCACUGGCCCGGUACUGACGCUGAGGCGCGAAAGCGUGGGGAGCAAACAGG